rnacentral:rRNA from 1 species
AGUGAACGCUGGCGGUAGGCCUAACACAUGCAAGUCGAACGGCAGCACAGGAGAGCUUGCUCUCUGGGUGGCGAGUGGCGGACGGGUGAGGAAUACAUCGGAAUCUACUCUGUCGUGGGGGAUAACGUAGGGAAACUUACGCUAAUACCGCAUACGAACUACGGGUGAAAGCAGGGGACCUUCGGGCCUUGCGCGAAUGAAUGAGCCGAUGUCGGAUUAGCUAGUUGGCGGGGUAAAGGCCCACGAAGGCGACGAUCCGUAGCCGGUCUGAGGGGAUGAUCAGCCACACUGGAACUGAGACACGGUCCAGACUCCUACGGGAGGCAGCAGUGGGGAAUAUUGGACAAUGGGCGCAAGCCUGAUCCAGCCAUACCGCGUGGGUGAAGAAGGCCUUCGGGUUGUAAAGCCCUUUUGUUGGGAAAGAAAUCCAGCUGGCUAAUACCCGGUUGGGAUGACGGUACCCAAAGAAUAAGCACCGGCUAACUUCGUGCCAGCCGCCGCCGUAA